ACCUGGCUCACGCCGGUCUAAACUCAGAUCAUGUAAAAUUUCAAAGGUCGAACAGACCUAAUAGUUUAGCCACUACACCAAACAUUUAUUUUAAUCCAACAUCGAGGUCGCAACCCCCCCUUUCGAUAAGAACUCUAAGAAGGAUUACGCUGUUAUCCCUAAGGUAAUUUAUUCUUAUAAUCUUUAAUUCAAGGCUCACUAAAACACAAAUCAGUGAUUCAUAUAAAAAAAAGUUUUAUUAAUUUUUCCAUCUCCCCAACCAAAUAAUCUUACCUACAAAUCAAUUCUAAACCUUAAAAAUAAUUUACAGACAAAAAUAUAAAACUCUAUAGGGUCUUCUCGUCUUCUACUAUUAUUUAAGCUUUCUCACUUAAAAAUAAAAUUCAACUAAAUUCCUAUGGAGACAGUUUUUUUCUCAUCAAACCCUUCAUUCCAGCUUUCAAUUAAAAAACUAAUGAUUAUGCUACCUUUGUACGGUCAAUUUACCGCAGCCAUUUAACUCCUCAUUGGGCAGGUCAGACCUGAAAUUAUAAUCAACAAGCCAUGUUUUUAAUAAC
rnacentral:rRNA from 1 species